UCGUAAUAUCGCGGGACGUUCACCUGUCUGUGGUCAGGUGGUCAAUCCUUCGCUCAGUGGCGUUGAGACGAUCACUAGCUUAGCUAAAGCUGUCUUAGCUGCUUCUAAUGGAGCACAAGUUAUAUGGAAAAACUUGUAUUAAUGUUUUAACUAAAUGAAGUCACGAGGAAAAGAAGAGGAAUUCAAAUUCUGCCGUCACCAUCUCUCAAAGAUACAAAUGCUCCCGCGCUUUUCUUCCGAAGUAACGUUAGCUAGCUAGCUAACGUCGACAAACAUGGCUGCCAAUUAACGUUAGCCCGGCCAUAGUAGCCAGGAAGCGCCCACUACCACCACCGCCAGCUGUGGAGGACGCAGUACAGUAAUGUGCAUCACGGUUUGUGAACUUCUCACAGAAGAAGGACUUUUCAUUGUUGACUGGAAAAACGUUUUCACAGGCAGCAUCAAUAACGGCAGAGCGGAGCGGUCCCCGGAUGUUCACCCAUCUGUCCAUUCUUCUCCAAAGUUGACUCCACUUUUGCAGAGCGGUAGCGUGAAGGUUCUUCUAAACACUGGCAUCAUUGCUGCUGACACGCCCUGAACAUUGGACUACGAGCGUCAUGCAGUUAUCAAAGGUUUCCGAGAUGUUCUUGGAGCUUUUCUCACCACCGUCCAAAAUCUGUUUAAAGUUCCUCCAGCUGACCCAGCAACUCUCAGGACCUAAAGUGGGCGUCCAACAUCGACACAGUAAUCAAAAAGGCCCAGCAGAGGAUGUACUCCCUGCGCCAGCUCAGAGCCUGCUUCAGGA